CAACCAGCAAUGAAAAGGUCCUUUAUUUAGCCACAGAACAGAUUCAGCCCAGGCAGUGGCAGUGCGAGCAUUACCUCAUUGCUCACACCAAAGUAUAUCAUUUUGGCAUGAAGAGAUCACCUUGUAAGAAAUUCAUUCAUUUUCAUACCCAUUCAGUUACUUUUUAUCUGAG
rnacentral:sRNA from 1 species